rnacentral:rRNA from 1 species
CAUUCACGGAGAGUUUGAUCCUGGCUCAGGACGAACGCUGGCGGCGUGCUUAACACAUGCAAGUCGAACGAUGAAGCCCUUCGGGGUGGAUUAGUGGCGAACGGGUGAGUAACACGUGGGCAAUCUGCCCU